CGUCGCUGCUGCAGUGGUACCUGCGGCUCAAGUCCUGGUGGGCGUCCAAUUAUGUCAGUGACUGGUGGGAGGAGUUUGUGUACCUGCGCUCCCGAAAUCCGCUGAUGGUGAACAGCAACUAUUACAUGAUGGACUUCCUGUAUGUCACACCCACGCCUCUGCAGGCAGCUCGCGCUGGGAAUGCCGUCCAUGCCCUCCUCCUGUACCGCCACCGCCUGAACCGUCAAGAGAUACCCCCAACUUUGCUGAUGGGAAUGCGCCCCUUAUGCUCUGCCCAGUACGAGAAGAUCUUCAACACCACGCGGAUUCCAGGGGUCCAAAAAGACUACAUCCGCCACCUCCAUGACAGCCAACACGUGGCUGUCUUCCACCGGGGCCGAUUCUUCCGCAUGGGGACCCACUCCCGAAACAGCCUGCUUUCCCCGAGGGCCCUCGAGCAGCAGUUUCAGAGAAUCCUGGAUGAUCCCUCACCGGCCUGCCCCCACGAGGAACAUCUGGCGGCUCUGACUGCUGCUCCCAGGGGCACGUGGGCCCAGGUGCGGACAUCCCUGAAGACCCAGGCAGCGGAGGCCCUGGAGGCGGUGGAAGGGGCCGCUUUCUUUGUGUCACUGGAUGCUGAGCCUGCGGGGCUCACCAGGGAGGACCCGGCAGCGUCAUUGGAUGCCUACGCCCAUGCUCUGCUGGCCGGCCGGGGCCAUGACCGCUGGUUUGACAAAUCCUUCACCCUAAUCGUCUUCUCUAACGGGAAGCUGGGCCUCAGCGUGGAGCACUCCUGGGCCGACUGCCCCAUCUCAGGACACAUGUGGGAGUUCACUCUGGCUACAGAAUGCUUUCAGCUGGGCUACUCAACAGACGGCCACUGCAAGGGGCACCCGGACCCCACACUACCCCAGCCCCAGCGGCUGCAAUGGGACCUUCCAGACCAGAUCCACUCCUCCAUCUCUCUAGCCCUGAGGGGAGCCAAGAUCUUGUCUGAAAAUGUCGACUGCCAUGUCUUUCCAUUCUCCCUAUUUGGCAAGAGCUUCAUCCGACGCUGCCACCUCUCUUCAGACAGCUUCAUCCAGAUCGCCUUGCAACUGGCCCACUUCCGGGUCAGUUGGUUUCCCCAUCCACAGCCCCCUCAGGGUCUCUGUCCAUCUGAGCCCCCAUGACCUGCCCCUCCACGGUUCCUUGUGGUCGUUGCCAUUGUGGGUCCACGCCAUUGUGGGUCGGCCAUCUUGAAUUCUCUCUCCCAACCAUUCUUGGGCUGGCUGGAGGAGGCUGGAGGUCUGGACAGAGAUAGGUCAAGUCUGUAAGAUUUCCUGAGCCCAGGUGACAGACUCCUCUUCUCCUCCCUGUCCCCCAGGACAGGGGUCAAUUCUGCCUGACUUAUGAGUCGGCCAUGACUCGCUUAUUCCUGGAAGGCCGGACGGAGACGGUGCGGUCUUGCACGAGGGAGGCCUGCACCUUUGUGAGGGCCAUGGAGGACAAAGAGAAGACGGUGGGUGCAGGCCUCGCUUGAGGCUUCAGUCAUUUCUGUGUACUCACUCAUCCACUUGCAAACAUUGAUGGGACCUACUGAAGCCAGCCUCCACGAAGGGCACAAGGGACAAGGGAUGAAUCAGACCUGGCCUCUGACUUCAAAGAGCUCACUGAUGGGGGGAGACAGCCCAGCAUAGUGUGAUAACUGCUUUCAUGGUGGUCUCACAGGGCACUGGGGGAGCACCCAAGAAGGAACCCCAUUUCUUUUUUUUUUGAGAUGGAGUCUUGCUCUGUCACCCAGACUGGAGUGCAGUGGCACAAUCUCGGCUUACUGCAACCUCUGCCUCUCGAGUUCAAGCGAUUUUCAUGCCUCAGCCUCCUGAGUAGCUGGAAUUAUAGGCACCCGCCACCAUGCCCAGCUAAUUUUUUUUUUUUUAGUAAUUUUAGUAGAGACGGGGUUUCACCAUGUUGGCCAGGCUGGUCUCAAACUCCUAACCUCAGGUGAUCUCCCCGCCUCAGCCUCCCAAAGUGCUGGGAUUACAGACGUGAGCCAAUGCACCUGGCCAGAACUCCAUUUUUACAACGUAACUCUGCCUAUUUAAUCUCUUUGUGACUUGUGACCUUCCUUUGCACCAUUCCCUGUACCCUCUCUGCCCAGAUCCCACCUGCCCCGCACCUCUGCUCCCUUGCCCUACACCUAGCCCCACACCUACAAGGUACUGUGGUUCCAUGGAAGGAGUUUGGGCUCUGGGGCCAGACACACCUAGGAACCCGCCCGGCUCUCCCUGGCUAUGUGAACCUGGCCAAAUGAUUUCCCCUCUCUAAGCCUCAGUUCCCCAUCUGUAAAAUGGAGUUGAUAUUCCCACCUUGCAGGGAUGUGGCAAGCUCAGUUGAGGCCAGAUGUGCCGCAGGCCCAGCACUAAGUCGACUUCCUGUCUUUCCAUGACCUGUGACCUCCCCGGGGACCCCAGGACCCACAGUGCCUCGCCCUGUUCCGCGUGGCAGUGGACAAGCACCAGGCUCUGCUGAAGGCAGCCAUGAGCGGGCAGGGAGUCGACCGCCACCUCUUUGCGCUGUACAUCGUGUCCCGAUUCCUCCACCUGCAGUCGCCAUUCCUGACCCAGGUUGGGGCACAGGGAAAGGGUUAAAGAGGGAACUGGGAGACCAUGGAAGAAGGGAGAGGUUUCAGGGAAGGAGGGUGAUGUUGAAAAAGGACCCAUCAAGGCCGGGCACGGUGGCUCACGCCUGUAAUCCCAGCAGUUUGAGCAGCCGAGGUAGGCGGAUCACUUGAGGUCAAGAGUUACAGACCAGCAUGGCCAACAUGGUGAAACCCUGGCUCUACUAAAAAUACAAAAAUUAGCUGGGCAUGGUGACGGGCGCCUGUAAUCCCAGCUACUUGGGAGGGCUGAGGCAGGAGAAUCCCUUGAACCCGGGAGGCGGAGGUUGCAGUGAGCUGAGAUCGCACCACUGUACUCCAGCCUGGAUGACAGAGCAAGACUCUGUCUC
rnacentral:sRNA from 1 species